CCCUGACAGCGGCAUUGGGCUGCUGACACAACCCAAGACAGGAGAUUGACAUG
rnacentral:sRNA from 12 species